UAUCCAUGUUGGGGACAAAGGGUUUGCAACUCUUUGUAUCUCCCCCAGGUUUGGUAUAAGGUUUCACUAUCCUUUUGGGCAAAUGAGGAAAUUUGCUUCUUAAAGACA
rnacentral:snoRNA from 1 species